GACGGAGGGUGCUAGCGUUGUUCGGAAUUACUGGGCGUAAAGGGCGCGUAGGCGGCCCUGUCAGUCGGGUGUGAAAGCCCUCGGCUCAACCGAGGAAGUGCGCCCGAAACUGCAUGGCUUGAGUACCGGAGAGGAUGGCGGAAUUCCCCCAAGUAGAGGUGAAAUUCGUAGAUAUGGGGGAGGAACACCGGUGGCGAAGGCGGCCAUCUGGACGGAUACUGACGCUGAGACGCGAAAGCGUGGGGAGCAAACAGG
rnacentral:rRNA from 1 species